AGGCGGCGGCUGUGUGGGGCCGUGGGUGUCUUUGCGCCGUGCUACUGCUGCCAAACGUUUCUCUUCCAGGUGCUUGCAGCAAACCUGAGCAAGCGCUUUUGCCAGAGUAGCGUAGGUUUGUCGGGGCAGGGCAGUUGUGCCAACCAGCUGUGGUCUGGAGGAGAGAGGCUGGGUGCUGGCUGCUUAGCCCCAUUUCUAACGGGAACCUUGAGCAUGAGUCAGGGCUUGGUGACCUGCUUCUCUUUGCUACCCUCCUGUUAUUAGGAGCCUGAGGCUUCCUGAGUUAAUAUGUUUACUUAUAGGGAAGGCAUUUGUCUCCAUGUGAUGCUGUUAGACUUUUACAGUGUUUUAGAGAGAUGCUGUUAGGAAGAGGUCUUGAGCAUAGCAGUUGAUAGUGGUAACUAUCUCUAUUUUGUAUUCAGGUUUACAAAACAUGUAUUCUUACAUAAUCCCACUUUCAUGAUAAAUAUGAAAACCACUUGAUAAAUAGAUCUCUAGCAACUAAAUAUACAAAUAUCUACAAGCAAGUUUAAAUAUCCUGCCCCUGUAUCUGUAAUAAAACUUUUUUGUCUCUCUGCCUGCCUCCCCCAAAAAUACCCAGGUGGAAUGAUAGGCCGUGUAAUGUUCCUGGGAAGCUAGUUAACGGUGCCCUGCUAGACUGAGAGAGUGUUUCAAAAAGCAGGAAUCGCUCAUGGUGAACAGCCUGCUGGCAGUAGGCCGCCUCCUACUGAUGAACCUCAAGUGCUGUUACAGAUCCCUGCUGCAACAGCUUGACAUGAGGCCCUAAUGUCUUAUGAAGAACAGUCUCAGACAAUUGAGGGCAUCAUCAGUUAAGCCCAGCUUCUCAAAUUCUGUCUGGAAACUUGCAAAUCCUGGGACGCUAGCAUUUAUGUACUGACAGUGUGGAAUAACAUUUACUGCUGGGUUUUGCACUAGUUUGCACUUCUGAGUAACUGGCAUGGGGAGCACCCCAUCAAAUUCAUCCCUCCCAAAUAACGUUUAAGUUUAAAAGCAGUCUUUUUUUCCUAGGCUAGUAGUAUCCAAGUUUCUGAAAGUCCUGGAACCCCAACCCCUGCCCUAAAACCUGACGCAGCCAGGCAACUUGGUCUGGCAGUGGCCGCGCACUGCCUGGUGGCCUUCUCUGCCAUUGCCCUCGUCACAGAACCCCAGGGUCCCAUGGAGCACUUUGAAAACUACUGUCCUAGGCAGAUAAGACUUGGUCAUUUCUGCUUCCUCAAAUUAUUGGCACUUACUCGCAUUGUAGGACUGGUAACUUGUGGGAUGUCAUAGUUAACACCUUUGUUGUAAAGUGGAGUUUUCUUCAGUAUUAAGUGACCAUGAGCAGUCAAGUUCUCAUGUUUGUAUUUUACUUAAGACAACUCAUUUUAUUACCCUGUCAGUAGAAACCAUUAGUUCUCUGUGUGGUCCAGCUUGUUGUCAGAUCAUAGAGUGCAUGGGAGAAGAGGUGAAUUUUGAUGAGGGAUUUGAAGGGGCAAAGUGGAGGCUUUAUGGGUGUUGAUUGGACAAUUUUUCUCCAUUCUUGAGAUUGGGAGAGGGGGAGAAGGGAACGAAGGAAGUUCUUAGCAAAUAAGCAGAGAAUCAGAUGAAUGAGUUUGGCAUCAGUAGAGCAAAGGUGAAGGUCAGCUGGACAGGUAGGGUGAGGUUUAAGUGAGGAGUGUUUUUUUAGUAAGAACAAGAAGGCUGUUUUCUUUUUAAAAAGUGAUGGAAGGGCGGGGGGGGAAAGGAAAUUAUUCAAAAGCGACCAGAAGUCUGAACAGUGAACCAGCAAAGUGAUGGUAGCAUCAGUAUUUGAAUGGAUUUGAUUGUAUGGGUGAAUCUAUAGGCAGUAAGGCCAGAGAGAAGAUACCACAUGAAUUUUUUAAGGUCCUAUAAGUAAUGAAAAAGGAAGUGUGGGGGAGGAGGAAAAAAAAGAAACUACGUGCUUUUUGUUUGAACUCUGAAAAGUUGUUUCCUGUACUCUGGUAAGGUAUCUUUAGUAAUGGGUAUGGUUUGGUUAGUUUGUAUGAAGUACGUAACCUUUAUAUUUUUCCAGGUUUUAAAAAAACAUUUAAUGCAAUUAGUGCUUUUGAAAAUCCCACUCUAUUAUUUUUACUUUCUAUUGAUAUUAAUAUAGGAGUGAAAUUAAGUGCAGGUGGGUCUUUGAAAACCCUGCUCUAUUCAUACAAAUCAACAGACACAAAGAUCAGCAUUUAUCAAGAAAUUGUUCAGAAUGGUCCAGAUGCUGGGUGUCAAAUGCAUUUAGUUCAUAAUGUUUGGUGGGGGACUCGGGGGUGGAUUUUUUUUUUAAUUUACUCUCAGAUAUUGUAUGGGUGUGUUUGUUUUUAUAUUUUUCAGUUUGUAAUAAGCUGGAAAAAUUCUAUCUCUGUACAAAUUGACUGAACUUCCACAAAGAUGUCCAAGCAACAGCCUGCCCAGUUUACCAAUCCAGAAACUCCUGGUUAUGUUGGAUUUGCAAACCUUCCCAACCAGGUUCAUCGGAAGUCUGUGAAAAAGGGCUUUGAGUUUACUCUCAUGGUAGUUGGUGAAUCUGGAUUGGGAAAAUCUACGCUAAUAAACAGCCUAUUCUUGACAGAUCUCUAUCCAGAAAGGAUAAUCCCAGGAGCAGCUGAGAAAAUAGAAAGAACUGUGCAGAUUGAAGCCUCAACAGUUGAAAUUGAAGAGAGGGGAGUAAAGCUUCGUUUGACGGUUGUGGAUACACCAGGAUAUGGUGAUGCCAUCAAUUGUCGGGACUGUUUUAAGACUAUCAUCGCUUAUAUUGAUGACCAAUUUGAGCGGUAUCUGCAUGAUGAGAGUGGCCUGAACAGACGGCAUAUUAUAGAUAACCGUGUCCAUUGCUGUUUUUACUUCAUUUCACCAUUUGGUCAUGGACUUAAGCCCUUGGAUGUUGAAUUCAUGAAAGCCAUACACAACAAGGUGAAUAUUGUACCUGUAAUUGCAAAAGCCGAUACGCUUACCUUGAAGGAACGGGAAAGACUGAAAAGAAGGAUUCUGGAUGAAAUUGAGGAACAUGGUAUCAAGAUUUACCACUUGCCUGAUGCAGAGUCAGAUGAGGAUGAGGAUUUUAAAGAACAGACCAGACUUCUAAAGACCAGUAUUCCAUUUUGUGUAGUGGGAUCAAAUCAGUUGAUUGAAGCCAAAGGUAAAAAAGUUAGAGGUCGUCUCUACCCUUGGGGGGUAGUUGAAGUGGAGAACCCUGAACAUAAUGACUUCUUGAAGCUGAGAACCAUGCUAAUCACCCAUAUGCAGGAUCUUCAGGAGGUGACCCAGGACCUUCACUAUGAGAACUUCCGCUCUGAGAGACUCAAAAGUGGCCCAAGGACAGUAGAAGAUGAAGAAGUGAAUAAAGACCAGAUUUUGCUGGAAAAGGAAGCUGAACUUCGUCGUAUGCAGGAGAUGAUUGCAAGAAUGCAAGCUCAGAUGCAGAUGCAGAUGCAGAGCGGAGAGGAAGAAAGUGCAGUUCAUGGACACCAUGUAUAAAAUCUUGAUGUGUUCUCCUGCUCCAGAAUUCAUGUACUUUUGACAAAGCAUGUAUUGAUUUCUUACACAGACCAAGAGGAAGCAUUGCAUACUUGAGAGAGACAGUGUGAUGUGUUCUACAGGGAAAGAUGCCUUUUAGCCAACCUGUGACUUGGAAUUUACUUUAGAGUUUCAUGUGACAGAUGCAUUGUGGUAACUUUUUAAAUAGAAAUUUCGUAAUAAGUCAUAGUCAGUAUUUUAUACAUAAUAUGUAAUGUGUCUUUGCUUAUUUUAGUAAGUCUUAUAAUGAGCUCUUUUCUGUUUCCUAGUAUAUUAGGGUUACACAUGGAUAUCCAGUCUUUCCUAAGCUGACUUAGCAGUAGUCAGUCUAUUUGUAUAGUUCACUAGUAAUGUUACUUUACUUCUUACACCUAGAAAUACUGGGUUUCAGUAAUAGCUUGUUCAGCAGUGCAAUAUUUGGCUAAUUAGGAAGUCCUUUAAUGCCAAGUUGUAUUAUCUGUUUCUUGCAGCAGUUACAGUUGUGUGCCUUUGAGACUCAGCCUUUUGUCUGCUUGUCUGGUGCAGACUAGCCAUUUCCUUGGCAUCACAAAUGUCUAAUUAAAAAUAAGAUAUGCUUUUUGUCUUAAUAAGAAAGAUGGAAUUGAGCAAAAAUGCUUUUGAGAGACACUCUAUACUUAACAGGCAGCAGAUGUUAUCAUUCUCAAGUUUAUCUUGAGGGGAAAUAUCUUCUAGAUUCCAUUUACCUAUAGGCUUCCAAUUUAUUCGAGAGACUAUUUAGUUUUUUUGUGAGCCACCACAAAACGGCCUUGUUCUUUUGGUGCCAUUACAGCAAUAAUAAAUUGGAAUAAUGCCCCCAAAAACAUGCCCUAGUUUUUCAGCAGCUUUCAAAACCUGGCAGGUGUUUUUUUUUUUUAAAUGGAAAGGGGUAAAAUCUAGAGGAAGAAAGCUCUUGCUUAAGUUUUAGACUAUUUUGAGGGCAUUGGAAACAAGUUAGUUGUAACAAAGAAAAUAUUUCAUAUUUCAGAUGGAAAUCUUGCACAGAAGGAUAUAGGGGCCCAUGCUCAAUAAAUCAAGAGACUGCUUUACUGGCUACCUCAGUAAUGAAAGUGGCUAUAAUAAUUUUGUGGUGGCUCUGUGGUAGUGGGUGCCAGUCAGUCCUUCAAUCCAAGGUCAGUUGUCUUGAUGCUGGUGGUAGAAGCCUUUGUGGCCUCUCCUGAUUUUUGCCUGGUUUCUCUGGUCCUCUUAUUUUGUGUGCAGUGCAUGAUGCAGCUAUUACAGCUCAUACCCACAAGCUGACAUAGUAAAAAGUCAUGUUCUCUGCUGAAUGACUGAUCUUGCCUUUUCUGCCUCGAGUGCCAAUUGGAUUUCAUAAUAUGAUGUGCUACUGCAAAAUGUAGUUACCAGAGCAUCUGACAAUCAGCCAGUGCCAAAGGGCUAAUGCAGAUGGGCACCAUUGCAGAUGGGCACCAUUGCAGAAUGUUGUUGCUAUAUCUGAGCUCAUGCACAGCACAACCUCUUUAAAUUCAUUUUUCUGUUGUUUUGAAGAGAUGAGGAGUAAUUUGACUUACUCCUGCAGCUAAUCUUUUUAAAUUCCCUGAACUCUAGCUUUAAUGAGAA